CAGAUUAUAUCUUCUUGUUGUGUUGUUGUUUUAGUGAUGUUUUGUAAUAGAUCUAUUUAGUUACAUGUGGUCUACAACCUGGAACUUUUAGAUCACAAAAAUGAUGCACGAUCAUCAUAUAGUAGGAGCUCAAAAGUGAACAGUCGAACUGUUCUUCAUUUCUGGGCAAACCCAGAAAUGAAGAACAGCUCUGACAGUGUUUUGGUUAGCUUAGAUCUUGCAUUUGAUGCAUGUUAUGACC
rnacentral:lncRNA from 1 species